UCUUUAUAGGGGGAGAAUAAUUGACUCCAUUCAAGUGUUCGCUCCUGUUUCAAUCAACUAUGGCUGAAGAGUGAGGAGACAUUUGGAAUAAAUAUGGCUUCUGGGGGCCCAUUCCUAUGGAUCAGCAGCUGGCUUCUGGAGGCCCAUUCCUGUGAAUCGUCGAUCUCAUAGAAGAUAAUAUUGUUAGAAGGCUUACCUCAUUGAUGCUGAACAUCCUAAAAAGCUUCUGCUGCUUUGAGUCACUGAAAAAGACCAAGAAACAUGAAUUUAAAAAAAAAUUUCAAAUGUUAUAAAAUAAAUAAUAUGAACUCAUUAUACCUACAAUGAAUAAUUUAAAUUCUUCUUUGGUAGUCCAGGUAAAUAUCUUCUCAAAUAGAUUUUUUUAAGCAUCUGUAUAAGUUCAAGAUGUACAUCACUUCAUGUAGAAUAAAAUCUCCUAAAAAGAA